CCCUCCUACAAAGGUGCAUCUGUGGUUCCCUGUCUUUGGGCAUGUAAGAACUGGAGGCAAAGAAAUGUGGACUUGGAGGAUUCUAGGGCCAGCUUGCUCCCUGCAGGCUCAAUAUCAACCAUCCUAUGUGG